UACAGAGGGUGCAAGCGUUAAUCGGAAUUACUGGGCGUAAAGGGUGCGUAGGCGGGCCACUAAGUUAGAUGUGAAAUCCCCGGGCUUAACCUGGGAACUGCAUAUAAUACUGAUGGCCUAGAGUAGAGUAGAGGGAAGUGGAAUUUCCGGUGUAGCGGUGAAAUGCGUAGAUAUCGGAAAGAACACCGGUGGCGAAGGCGGCUUCCUGGACUCAUACUGACGCUGAGGCACGAAAGCAUGGGGAGCAAACAGG
rnacentral:misc_RNA from 1 species